UACGAAGGGGGCUAGCGUUGCUCGGAAUCACUGGGCGUAAAGCGCACGUAGGCGGCUUUCUAAGUCAGGGGUGAAAUCCUGGAGCUCAACUCCAGAACUGCCUUUGAUACUGGAGAGCUUGAGUCCGGGAGAGGUGAGUGGAACUGCGAGUGUAGAGGUGAAAUUCGUAGAUAUUCGCAAGAACACCAGUGGCGAAGGCGGCUCACUGGCCCGAUACUGACACUCAGGUGCGAC
rnacentral:rRNA from 1 species